AUUGAACGCUGGCGGCAUGCCUUACACAUGCAAGUCGAACGGUAACAGGUCUUUGGAUGCUGACGAGUGGCGAACGGGUGAGUAAUACAUCGGAACGUGCCCGAGAGUGGGGGAUAACCAGUCGAAAGACUGGCUAAUACCGCAUACGACCCAAGGGUGAAAGCGGGGGACCGUAAGGCCUCGCGCUAUUGGAGCGGCCGAUGUCUGAUUAGCUAGUUGGCGGGGUAAGAGCCCACCAAGGCGACGAUCAGUAGCUGGUCUGAGAGGACGACCAGCCACACUGGGACUGAGACACGGCCCAGACUCCUACGGGAGGCAGCAGUGGGGAAUUUUGGACAAUGGGCGCAAGCCUGAUCCAGCCAUGCCGCGUGCGGGAAGAAGGCCUUCGGGUUGUAAACCGCUUUUGGCAGGAACGAAACGGCGCAAGCCAAUACCUUGCGCUAAUGACGGUACCUGCAGAAUAAGCACCGGCUAACUACGUGCCAGCAGCCGCGGUAAAAC
rnacentral:rRNA from 1 species